CAGAUUCAGGCUCCAGAGCUACUCUCAGCAGGCUGACCAAGACAUUUGUGUCAAAGGAAUAUUCACUAGUUCAAAACCUACAAAACCACCACAUUUUGUAUGGCUUCCACCCCAAGCUCUGCUGAGAACCAGAGGGAAACCUACUGCUUUGGAAGAACAUUUCCCUUGCUUACCUUGCCACUGCUGUGGAUCCCCUUCAACACUGGUCCCUCAACACCGACU